UUAUAGAUAAAAUGAGCCACUCAUGUCCCUGGGAUUCUGAGCAUAAUCAGACUGAUCUCUCUGUUAUUAAUAGUUUGUUUUAUAACACAAGGCAGGGUAAUGUGAUGUGAGGAGCCCACAGUACAAUUAUUAUAUAAUGAAAAGCCAAUAUUAAUUCCAUGUACAGUUUAUUUUUAUCAUGACAAUAAUAAAUGUCAUUACGCAGAUACUCCCCUACCACAGUGUAUUUAUACGGCAAUAACUAAUGAAUAUUCAUAAGGAAAUCCACAGAAGGUGUGUUUGUAUUGACGGUGAGUAUAUAUAUAUAUAUAUUCCCUGUAGGUAUCAGAAGACACACACACAGCAAUAUACAGAGGGACAACAGCAGAUAUCAGAUAUCUCCAGCUACAAAUCAUAAGGUAAUGACCUGUACCUGAAGGAGAAGAAGAAGCAGAAGAAGGAGAAGAAGCAGAAGAAGGAGAAGAAGAAGAAGGAGAAGAAAAAGAAGAAGAAGCAGAAGAAGGAGAAGGAGAAGGAGAAGAAGAAGAAGAAGGGGAGAUGAGAGGCACAAACAACUUUGCUAAACUGAACCAGUUCCUCAGGAUUCUGGGAAUUCUCUGCCUUUUCCUUCAGCACCAAACAGGUGCUGUUCUAGAGGUGACUGCUCCCCCCACCCAAACUUCUUCAAAGGGAUCUGACAUCCUAAUUCCCUGCUCAUUCCAUGUGGAUAAAUUCCCUGCUGAUCCCAAACUCUUGGAUGUAAAGUGGUCUUUCAAUAGCAGAAUAAUUCUGAUAUACAGCGAUGAUGUGAGCACAACAGAUCCCCGGUUCUCUCUCAACUCAACUACAGCCCCAUGGGGAGUGGCCUCUCUGUCUGUGUCUAAUACACAGGUAUCUGAUGGUGGGAGAUACACCUGUACAGUCACUUAUGGUACUGAGUGGCAGGAGAAGGAGAUCAAACUCAUAAUCCAAGCUUCCCCGCAGAUUAACAUCACUAAUAAUUUUGUUCUUGAGAAUGAGGAAAGUGCCCUGAGCGCCUCCAUCACCGGCUUCUACCCCCAGGACAUUGACAUUAAGUGGCUCAGGGAGGGGGAGAUAAUGGCUGGUGGAACUGUGCUCACCCCCCAGAGAAAUGCAGAUGGUACAUACCGAGUGAUCGGCACACUCACCAUUGUACCCACCAAGGAGAACAGGAACCAGAUCUUCUCUAUCAGGGUCCAACAUGAGUCUCUUUCUGCUUCUCUUCAGAAGGACUUCCAUCUGCUCUAUGCAGGUGCUGUUCUUGAGGUGACUGCUCCCCCCACGCAAACUUCUUCGAAGGGAUCUGAUAUUCUGAUUCCCUGUACAUUCCAGCUGAAUAAGUUUCCUGCUCACCCCAAACUCUUGUCUAUACGCUGGGAUUUCCAUGGAAGGAGAAUACUGACAUACAGUGAUGGUGCAAGUACAUCGGAUCCCCAGUUCUCUCUCAACUCCAAUUCAGCAACACGGGGAGAGGCCUCUCUGUCUGUGUCUAAUACACAGGAAUCUGAUGGGGGCACCUACACCUGCUCAAUCACUUAUGGUACCGAGUGGCAAGCAAAGGAAAUUAUACUGGAAAUUCAAGAUCCCGGCAGUGCUUUCCUAACAGCGGGAUCCACACUUGCAUUUCUCUUGGUCAUAGUGCAAUUAUUUAUUUAUUUAUUUACAUCAUAAAGUAUAAAGAAGAAAGAAGAGGAACACAGUUCGUAACAACCAGAAGUUUUACUGUCCCAACAGACGACACAAUGGACACCAAAUAAAUGUUGGAAUAUAAAUAAAUGGUGGCGGUGAAGGAUUAAUCAAUCAUUGGAUUCAGGAGAAACUCAAGCAAAUAUCUGAGUGUCACAUCAUUAGUUACACUGAGAUUCCCUGUGUUUAGCCAAAGGGUUUCUUUUGGUUGUUGUAUAAAUACUUGUGUAUCUGGAAGGUACAACUUCUGCUGAGCCGGAAUGUGUCGUAACCUACACCAUGAAGGAAAAGUCCCAGCAAUUCCAUGAGAAGGAGGUUGAGAGACACAAGUCAGAUGAUGGACACAAGAAUUGUAACACAUUUCAUCAAAACUGCCCCUGUUUAGCCCCUGGGGGCAUAUUAUAAAGCACAAGCACUUUGUCCUCAGUCUAAGCUGAUCAGACAUCACUCAUACAGGGAAACCUGGUGUAUUAGUUCCUAUAGUUUCACAAAUGAAGGCUGGGAGAGAGAGGUAACAUGACUUAUCUCUAGUAUUGAGCAAUCACAGAGCUGAUUUUACCAUGUUACAAAGGGGCAGAUUUAUUAAAGUGUGAAAUUAGAGCUCGGCACAGGAACCCUCCAGCACUUUCUAUUCAUUCCCAGCGGAUGUUAAGAGCAAUAUUUACAGUAUCAAGUGGUAAAUUCUAACUUCCACACAUUAAUAUUAAUAUGAUUCUAAAGAUCCCAAAGGAAUGAAUAGAAAGUGGUAGAAUGUUACUGUGCGGAGCUCUAAUUUCCCACUUCUAUCCCAAUUGAGAACCGUAGGGGCAUCAAAAAGCAUCUGCUUUAACUUAAGAGAUGAUACUCAAAUUUUUUAAUGGGAAUCUUGGCUCUUCUAGAGUAUGGAGUUCAGUUGCUCUCUUCACAUCAAUGAACUACUAAUUUAUUGUUUUGCUGUAUAGGGCUUUGCCCUCAA